rnacentral:rRNA from 1 species
AUCCCGUUGACCACUGUAGAGAUAUAGUUUCCCCUUCGGGGGCAACGGUGACAGGUGGUGCAUGGUUGUCGUCAGCUCNUGUCGUGAGAUGUUGGGUUAAGUCCCGCAACGAGCGCAACCCUUGAUCUUAGUUGCCAUCAUUUAGUUGGGCACUCUAAGGUGACUGCCGGUGACAAACCGGAGGAAGGUGGGGAUGACGUCAAAUCAUCAUGCCCCUUAUGACCUGGGCUACACACGUGCUACAAUGGACGAUACAAACGGUUGCCAACUCGCGAGAGGGAGCUAAUCCGAUAAAGUCGUUCUCAGUUCGGAUUGUAGGCUGCAACUCGCCUACAUGAAGCCGGAAUCGCUAGUAAUCGCGGAUCAGCAUGCCGCGGUGAAUACGUUCCCGGGCCUUGUACACACCGCCCGUCACACCACGAGAGUUUGUAACACCCGAANUNGGUGAGGUAACCUUUUGGAGCCAGCCGCCGAAGGUGGGAUAGAUGA